rnacentral:rRNA from 1 species
CCUACGGGAGGCAGCAGUGAGGAAUAUUGGUCAAUGGUCGGGAGACUGAACCAGCCAAGCCGCGUGAGGGAGGAAGGUACAGAGUAUCGUAAACCUCUUUUGUCAGGGAACAAAGGCGGGGACGUGUCCCCGGAUGAGUGUACCUGAAGAAAAAGCAUCGGCUAACUCCGUGCCAGCAGCCGCGGUAAUACGGAGGAUGCGAGCGUUAUCCGGAUUUAUGGGGGUUAAAGGGUGCGCAGGCGGUCUGUUAAGUCAGCGGUCAAAGCCCGGGCCUCAACCCCGCCCCGCCGUUGAAACUGGCAGUCUCGAGUUGGAGAGAGGUAUGCGGAAUGCGAGGUGUAGCGGUGAAAUGCAUAGAGAUCGCGCAGAACUCCGAUUGCGAAGGCAGCAUGCCGGCUCCACACUGACGCUGAGGCACGAAAGCGUGGGUAUCGAACAGGAUUAGAUACCCCAGUAGUC